rnacentral:rRNA from 1 species
AGAGUUUGAUCAUGGCUCAGAUUGAACGCUGGCGGCAGGCCUAACACAUGCAAGUCGAACGGUAGAGAGAAGCUUGCUUCUCUUGAGAGCGGCGGACGGGUGAGUAAUACCUAGGAAUCUGCCUGAUAGUGGGGGAUAACGUUCGGAAACGGACGCUAAUACCGCAUACGUCCUACGGGAGAAAGCAGGGGACCUUCGGGCCUUGCGCUAUCAGAUGAGCCUAGGUCGGAUUAGCUAGUUGGUGAGGUAAUGGCUCACCAAGGCUACGAUCCGUAACUGGUCUGAGAGGAUGAUCAGUCACACUGGAACUGAGACACGGUCCAGACUCCUACGGGAGGCAGCAGUGGGGAAUAUUGGACAAUGGGCGAAAGCCUGAUCCAGCCAUGCCGCGUGUGUGAAGAAGGUCUUCGGAUUGUAAAGCACUUUAAGUUGGGAGGAAGGGCAUUAACCUAAUACGUUAGUGUUUUGACGUUACCGACAGAAUAAGCACCGGCUAACUCUGUGCCAGCAGCCGCGGUAAUACAGAGGGUGCAAGCGUUAAUCGGAAUUACUGGGCGUAAAGCGCGCGUAGGUGGUUUGUUAAGUUGAAUGUGAAAUCCCCGGGCUCAACCUGGGAACUGCAUCCAAAACUGGCAAGCUAGAGUAUGGUAGAGGGUAGUGGAAUUUCCUGUGUAGCGGUGAAAUGCGUAGAUAUAGGAAGGAACACCAGUGGCGAACGCGACUACCUGGACUGAUACUGACACUGAUGUGCGAAAGCGUGGGGAGCAACAUGAUUAGAUACCCUGGUAGUCCACGCCGU